AGAUGAGCCUGCAGCCUGUGCUGAUGCCUGGAUUUCAGCCUGGGAGACUCUCAGCAGAGGACUCGGCUCAAGGCUGUCUACAGUCCUGAUCUACCAGAACCAUGAGAUAAUAAACAGGCAUUGUUUAGGUAGUGAAAUGUGGUUACACAUAAAUAGGAACCCAGUGCAGCGUAAGAUGCCCUGGCAUAUCAAGGGCGGUUCAUGAGUGGGUGCCUUCAGCUUGGGAGGAAGCAGGCAUAGGGCUGAUGCAUCGCAGUGUCCACAUAUGCAGGGAGGCUGGUUUCCUAGGAAGCCUCCCAAUGAGGAAAUUGUUGGGAAUGUGCUGCAAGGCGCUGCCUCGCUCUGGAGCCAGACGAGAGGCCGGAGCAUCCGCCCCAACAUGGCUGGCUGUGUGAGCCUCAGGAACGCUGGCAGCUCUGCAAGACUCUCUGCCAUCUGCAAAAUGCGGCUGGCUGAAAACCCUCCAGGGAUUGCUGCAUUUGCUAUCCGAAAGUCAACUCCUAUGCCUUCGGAGAGUGAGGAAGAUCAGAGAGGGGCAUUUUUGCCUGUUUUAAUGUCGCCAUCAGUCACCAGGCAAGUCUGCAAUCUUUGCUGCAUCCUUCCAUGGUAUCGGCACAAGCAAGGCUAGGAGGAAAAUGAGCUGCAGAAGGAUCAAAUGACCUGCCUGAGGUGCCCUAUCUGUUGGCACAGGCCAGAGCACAUGGUGGAUGCAGGGGCACCCCCUUCCCUUCUCCUCCCCUCCGGCUCUUUGCUGACAGGAUUCUCUCUUGCCUUCUCUGAUGGUACCUGUGCUACGUGCCACAUCCUUUCCCUCAAUGAAUUUCAGGCAGUGGAAGGGGCCGCAGAAGUUCCUUGACUCAUGAGGCGAGGCAUUCAGCGGCCUCGUGACACCUCCCAGGAUCUGCAGUCAUUGGGCUGCACUUGCCAAUAGCAACACCUGGCAAAAAUAGCUAAGAAGCAGAGCGGCCUGGGCUCAGGAGCUGAGCAACCCCUGACUGGCCAGAUGGAGACUGUGUUGAGCUCUGCCCAAGCCCUGUGAUCCUGGAAAACAGUGAAGUUAAGGAGCCAUCUGCAUUCUAGGGAAUGGCCCACUGCAAAAAAUAGCCUUCCUUAUAGGACGUAGAGGACUCAUGAUGUCCCCUCAUUUAUGAUGAGCCAACACACAGCCCUUCCAAAUUCCGAUUCUUUGCUUCAUAACUGAUGAGCUGUUUUGUUCCCACUGGUCAAUCGGAACAACAUUCUUGCUAACCAGAUUUUGGUUCAGCUCUUCUCCCUCCCCAUGUACCUGCCCUGUGUCCUGUCCUCAUCCUGAGCCAGCACACACCCCUCCUUAGUAGCUCCUCCUGCAGCAGGCUGACCUCGGACUCUCCCUGAUCCAUUGUCCAAAUAUAUCACCCUUUCACCCUACAUCCUCACACCCCAUUCUUUCUAGUUUUGUUCAUUCCUCCCUGUGAAAGAUGAACCCUCUUUGCCUAACCCCGGACCUGCUUGCAGACUGCUAUGAUGGCCAGAGUGUCCCCCCUACUGCAAGAGUCCCUUCUGUCCCUUGCAACAUCUUUUAAAUAAAAUCUCUCUUUACCAAG
ensembl:lncRNA LINC02346 long intergenic non-protein coding RNA 2346